UACGUAGGGACCGAGCGUUGUCCGGAAUCAUUGGGCGUAAAGAGCGUGUAGGCGGCCACUUAAGUCCUGCGUGAAAUCUUGCGGCUCAACCGCAAGCGGUCGUGGGAAACUGGGUGGCUAGAGUGCGGGAGAGGAGAGUGGAAUUCCUGGUGUAGCGGUGAAAUGCGUAGAUAUCUGGAGGAACACCGGUGGCGAAGGCGGCAUCCUGGACCGGCAUUGACGCUGAGGCGCGAAAGCCAGGGGAGCAAACGGG
rnacentral:rRNA from 1 species